GGUAAGGUGGCUCAGUGGUAGAGCAUCUGUCUUGUAUGCACAAGGUCCUAGAUUUGAUCCCUGGCACCA
rnacentral:tRNA from 1 species